rnacentral:rRNA from 1 species
AGAGUUUGAUCCUGGCUCAGGACGAACGCUGGCGGCGCGCCUAACACAUGCAAGUCGAACGAGCGAGAGAGAGCUUGCUUUCUCGAGCGAGUGGCGAACGGGUGAGUAACGCGUGAGGAACCUGCCUCAAAGAGGGGGACAACAGUUGGAAACGACUGCUAAUACCGCAUAAGCCCACGGGUCGGCAUCGACCAGAGGGAAAAGGAGCAAUCCGCUUUGAGAUGGCCUCGCGUCCGAUUAGCUAGUUGGUGAGGUAACGGCCCACCAAGGCGACGAUCGGUAGCCGGACUGAGAGGUUGAACGGCCACAUUGGGACUGAGACACGGCCCAGACUCCUACGGGAGGCAGCAGUGGGGAAUAUUGCACAAUGGGGGAAACCCUGAUGCAGCGACGCCGCGUGGAGGAAGAAGGUCUUCGGAUUGUAAACUCCUGUUGUUGAGGAAGAUAAUGACGGUACUCAACAAGGAAGUGACGGCUAACUACGUGCCAGCAGCCGCGGUAAAACGUAGGUCACAAGCGUUGUCCGGAAUUACUGGGUGUAAAGGGAGCGCAGGCGGGAAGACAAGUUGGAAGUGAAAUCCAUGGGCUCAACCCAUGAACUGCUUUCAAAACUGUUUUUCUUGAGUAGUGCAGAGGUAGGCGGAAUUCCCGGUGUAGCGGUGGAAUGCGUAGAUAUCGGGAGGAACACCAGUGGCGAAGGCGGCCUACUGGGCACCAACUGACGCUGAGGCUCGAAAGUGUGGGUAGCAAACAGGAUUAGAUACCCUGGUAGUCCACACCGUAAACGAUGAUUACUAGGUGUUGGAGGAUUGACCCCUUCAGUGCCGCAGUUAACACAAUAAGUAAUCCACCUGGGGAGUACGACCGCAAGGUUGAAACUCAAAGGAAUUGACGGGGGCCCGCACAAGCAGUGGAGUAUGUGGUUUAAUUCGACGCAACGCGAAGAACCUUACCAAGUCUUGACAUCCUGCGACGAUGCUGGAAACAGUAUUUUCCUUCGGGACGCAGAGACAGGUGGUGCAUGGUUGUCGUCAGCUCGUGUCGUGAGAUGUUGGGUUAAGU